CAGACUGUCCCAGGUUUAGCUGGUCUCCUGUCUCUGAUGAGGAAAAGCUGUCUGGCGUUAAGUAACUCUGGGGAAGCAGCCGGAGGACUGCUUGGAGAGAUGCUCCUGGAGAAUGUCUUGACAGAGAUAGACAGUCUCCUGUCUCAAGGUAUCCUAAGCAACAGCCGGGAGGUGAGUAGGUUGCUAGGCGCCGUGGAGGACACCUUGAUGCUCAUCGGGCCACAGCUCAGAGACACCCACACCACCAUGGAAACAGACCACACAGCUACUGAGCUUGCAGUGAGGAGGGGACAGACUCCGCCCCAUUGGGCCAAUCAGCCUGGCCAAUGACAACGUGCGACUGGACACCAGCUGGGAGACAGCCACUGGCAACGGGACGUACCCAGGUUUCACUCUGGCUGGGUUGGUGUGUUACAAGACAGUGGAGAAAUCUGUCAACAACUCCUUCCAGUACCUCACUGACACGGACACCAACAGAGACACAGCAACCGCCACAGCAUCAAAGCCUAGCUACCAGAUUAGUUCCAAGGUGGUAACUGCUCUCAUCAGUAACUCAGCAACAGAACACCUCACCCAGCCUGUCAUCCUCAC